rnacentral:rRNA from 1 species
CCUACGGGAGGCAGCAGUGGGGAAUCUUGCACAAUGGAGGAAACUCUGAUGCAGCGACGCCGCGUGAACGAUGAAGCCCUUCGGGGUGUAAAGUUCUUUCGCCAGGAACGAUAAUGACGGUACCUGGAGAAGAAGCUGCGGCUAACUACGUGCCAGCAGCCGCGGUAAUACGUAGGCAGCAAGCGUUGUUCGGAAUUAUUGGGCGUAAAGAGUAUGUAGGUGGUGUCGUAAGUUUGGUGUGAAAUCUCCUGGCUUAACUGGGAGGGUGCGCCGAAGACUGCGAUGCUUGAGUAUGGGAGAGGGAAUCGGAAUUCCUGGUGUAGCGGUGAAAUGCGUAGAUAUCAGGAGGAACACCUGUGGUGUAGACGGGUUCCUGGACCAUUACUGACACUGAGAUACGAAAGCGUGGGUAGCAAACAGGAUUAGAUACCCUGGUAGUCCACGCCCUAAACGAUGCACACUUGGUGUGAGCAUCUAGUUGUUGUGCGGNGCUACGCGUAGUGUGCGCCGUGGGAGGUACGGUCGCGAGGCGUGUAACGUACGUAAGUUAGUUAAGUUAGUUACGGCGUGAGACGUUGCGACGGACGACGACGAGGGAGGAGG